UACGGGGGGGGCAAGCGUUGUUCGGAAUUACUGGGCGUAAAGGGCUCGUAGGCGGCCAACUAAGUCAGACGUGAAAUCCCUCGGCUCAACCGGGGAACUGCGUCUGAUACUGGAUGGCUUGAGUUUGGGAGAGGGAUGCGGAAUUCCAGGUGUAGCGGUGAAAUGCGUAGAUAUCUGGAGGAACACCGGUGGCGAAGGCGGCAUCCUGGACCAACACUGACGCUGAGGAGCGAAAGCCAGGGGAGCAAACGGG
rnacentral:rRNA from 1 species